AUCCCCUCAGGAUCACAUCUGGAGAGUUUCCAGUACUCAACCAGUCUAGGUAUGUGAGGGAGAGUCAAGCAGAGGCUUAUCCAUUCCAUUCCUGGUUUGGGCAGUGUCUAGCAAGUGGAAGACAUUCUGCUACAAGU